AAUACUCAAUCAUAAAUAAGCAUUAGAAUUAACAACCCAUAAGAUUUAUAUACUAGGGUUGGGUCAUAAUCCUAGCUAAAAUCUAGUUACUCAUCCUAGAAAGCAUAGAAAACAAAGUAGAAGAAGUAAUUAAAUCCAUAAACUACAAUUCAAAGAUAAAAUUAAUGGAUCUUCUUCAAUUUUGAUCACUACUUUCCCAGAAGGGUAAAAUAUCACCGCUACAACUGCUAGGAAUAUAAAACUUGCCCUAAAAAAGUAUUUUCCAUCUAUUUAUAGUACCCAGAAAUUCGUUGAUAAAAAUAUCUUUCGGAGGUUCUACGGCUGAAUAAUUGCAUGUGCGGACUGCACUUAUCUUCUUCUCUGGAAAUGUGAGGAAAUCUGCGGCCGCAUAUUUUGAUUGCACCGCACUUUAAUGAGGCUUCACACUUGGUCUUUUGCACCUUCUCUGAACUUGUCAAAUUUUGUUUGUGCGCCCAACUUUUGCAGCCGCAUAAUUUGGUGUGCAUGCUGCGCUUUUAUAAACUCCUCCGAGGAUUCAGGGAUUCUUUUGUGGCCACACUUAUAUUUCUGCGGUCCACAUGAUCUUCUACAGACUGCACUUCUGCUUGCACUUUUUCUUUUUGCCUUGUUGAGCUGGAAUACUCCUUUUUGAGUUAAAUUUCUUCGUUAAGCUCCAAUCCUCCAACAUGCCUGCAAUUCAUACAAUUUCAUUAGAUUUGGAAACAAAAGUCAAUACUUUCAAACUAAAACUAAAGCAAGAGGGUACUAAUAAGUGAUUAAAAUUUACAUUUAUCAACGUCGGAAAAACCCCGGAUCCUAGCAGCGAUACUGCCGCUCCUACUGGAUCUGGAGGGUGUCACACCUCCUUUUUUCCGAGGAAUAGGGGAGUUUUUCCAAUUAAAGUGACAUUAAUCAAAAUAGGAUUAUUUAUUUAUUCAGAGUCACCACUUGGAAUAAUUUAUGGUGUCUCAAAUCACCAAUUUAUUUUAAAAUCCCAAAUCGAGGAAAUUGACUCUAUUCAUGGUCUACGAACACAGAAGACCGGGUAAGGAAUUUUGUUAACUCGAGAGAAGGUGUGAGGCACUCCCAAAUUUUGUGGUUUUAGCACGGUCUCUUGACAAUUAAUACCUGGCUUAAUUAUUUAAUUUAUUACAUGUUUUAAACCUAUUGUAUAUUUUUUACUUUCAACCGCUUUUAAUUAUUUAUGAAAUUUAUUUGAAUAAGUCGCGAUAUCGCGCACUCGUUUGUUUUUGUACACAUUGCGAAUCGCACUACGUGAAACGCACCCGCGAUUUACAACAUGUUAAUUUUUAUUAUUAUUUAAAGUUCUGGUCGAGUCACGUGAAACGUACACUCGAAUUUGGAUUUAUGUAUCGUGACUAUGCCACGAAAACCGUACCCAUAGCCACGAUGAUUAUUAUUAAUCGCACCUAAAGCAUGCUGGAGAAACAAUGAAAUAAAACUAUUGGAAAAUCAAAUUGAGUCCUUUUAUUUUAUACCUGCGUCCCGCCGCAUGAUCCAAACUAUGCAAAAUAGGUACGAACCAUACCAACAAAAUCAAAUAAACCUAUAGAGGAAAACAUAUAAACAUGCAUAUAAGAUAGAAGAUUGCACAAUGAAAUAAUAGGAAAAGAGAAGCAAACGUGAUACUGGCCAUUUGAAGUUUAAGACAAUUUUGACAACUGAUUGUUGUUAGAAAAAGACUUUGGUUAUACCAUUUGCCUAAAUGGCAAUUAAUGUUAAUAACAAUUUUAAACCUCAAACUAACUCUCAUAUACUAACCAAAUAUUCUUCAGUCAAUAUAACUUUAUUGAGAAAUUUACUGAUAACUAAACUAAUCAUGCAUUUACGGGGCUGAACUUCAAACUUAAGAACCAACGAAUGCAACAAAAGACUCCAAACAUUUAAAGAUUAAAAUCAACGAUUCAUGCCCCAAUGUAUUUAGCAAGAGGAUCAAUUAAAUUGACUGGCGGAUUAAUCUCAUCAAAGUUUAGGCCAAACACAAGAAUUUCACUUAAGAUCAAAUAGCAAACACACAGCCAAACAAAUGUUCCAUUCAAACACCAAAACAAUUUGAAAUCUGAAAAUCUAAGAAGAAACAGAGUGAAGAAUAGACCUUUAAUUGAGUUCCAAUGAUUCAAAUGCACGGAGUCCCGAAACCAGUACAGACCAGCAAAACAUAAACUCGAAUCAAGAUAGGGACCUCGACCAGUUCAGCGGCAAACCAUAAACCACGCCGGCGACCUGAAAGGAACCUCGCUAAAACCGCACUCGGAUAUUGAGAAGGAAACUAACAGAUAAAUCUUAUUUGUGAGUUUUCCCUCAACUCUACAUGAAGAUCAGUAUGCGCCGAAAUCGGAGAAUCAAAAUUUUGCAGGUGUUGCGGCGCUAAAUCGCGGUGGUGUUAGGAUCGGGAGAAAUUAGUGGACAGAAAUUUUUUGAUUUAUGGUACAAUCACAGUUGAUUAGAGGUGAUUUACAGUCUUUUUAUUAGGUUUUCGUGGUCGUGAGGCUUUUGAUGGAGAAGAAAAAGGAGUCAGGGUCUGGUGGAGCUUCGGAUUUUCUUUGUGUCGUACUCCUCUGUUUCUAGUCUUCUUUUCCUGUUUCUCUCUCUCAGUCCUUUUAUAAUUUUUCAGAUCUGUUCCUCCUUUCCCCUUUCGUGUGUGUGUGUUUAUCAAGAAAAAAAAU
rnacentral:lncRNA from 1 species